GACGAACGCUGGCGGCGUGCUUAACACAUGCAAGUCGAACGGAAAGGCCCUGCUUUUGUGGUGUGCUCGAGUGGCGAACGGGUGAGUAACACGUGAGUAACCUGCCCUUGACUUUGGGAUAACUUCAGGAAACUGGGGCUAAUACCGGAUAGGAGCUCCUGCUGCAUGGUGGGGGUUGGAACGUUUCGGCGGUUGGGGAUGGACUCGCGGCUUAUCAGCUUGUUGGUGGGGUAGUGGCUUACCAAGGGUUUGACGGGUAGCCGGCCUGAGAGGGUGACCGGCCACAAGGGGACUGAGAGAGGGCCCAGAGGCCUACGGGAGGCAGCAGUGGGGAAUAUGGCACAAUGAGCGGAAGCCUGAGACAGCAACGCCGGGUGCGGGAUGACGGCCUUCUGGGUGUAAACCGCUGUCGCCUGUGACGAAGCGUGAGUGACGGUAAUGGGUAAAGAAGCACCGGCUAACUACGUG
rnacentral:rRNA from 1 species